UCCUUAGAUGUUCUGGGCAGCACGCGCGCUACAAUGGUCUUCGCAAACGGAUGCAUUCUCGAAGGAGAAUGCCAAUCUUGGAAUCUAUGCCUUGGUCGGGACAGUUGCUUGCAAUUUUUCGACUCGAACCAGGAAUUCCUUGUAAUCGUGAUUCAUCACAUCACGAUGAAUACGUCCCUGCCCUUUGUACACACUGCCCGUCGCUCCUACCGAUCGAAGAGUUAGGUGAAUUGUUUUGAUCGAUAAGAUUUGACUAUGGUCAACUCUCGUUGUGAAAUUCUGUGAAUCUGACUGUUUAGAGGAAGGAAAAGUCGUAACA
rnacentral:rRNA from 1 species